rfam:Triticum aestivum genome assembly, contig: Triticum_aestivum_CS42_TGACv1_scaffold_408738_5BL
UGCCGAUGAUGCAUAAAAAUGCACGUAUUAUCGGAUUGUUCCAUGACGAUCAAACACAUUGUCACUACCACUGAGGCA